rnacentral:rRNA from 1 species
CCUACGGGCUGCAGCAGUGGGGAAUAUUGGACAAUGGGCGAAAGCCUGAUCCAGCCAUGCCGCGUGUGUGAAGAAGGCCUUCGGGUUGUAAAGCACUUUCAGUGGGGAAGAAAGCCUUGGGGCUAAUACCCUCGAGGAAGGACAUCACCCACAGAAGAAGCACCGGCUAACUCCGUGCCAGCAGCCGCGGUAAUACGGAGGGUGCGAGCGUUAAUCGGAAUUACUGGGCGUAAAGCGCGCGUAGGCGGUCUGAUAAGCCGGUUGUGAAAGCCCCGGGCUCAACCUGGGAACGGCAUCCGGAACUGUCAGGCUAGAGUGCAGGAGAGGAAGGUAGAAUUCCCGGUGUAGCGGUGAAAUGCGUAGAGAUCGGGAGGAAUACCAGUGGCGAAGGCGGCCUUCUGGACUGACACUGACGCUGAGGUGCGAAAGCGUGGGUAGCAAACAGGAUUAGAUACCCCUGUAGUC